rnacentral:tRNA from 1 species
UGGGGUAGAGCUCAGUGGCAGAGCGUAUGCUUAGCAUGCAUGAGGUCCUGGGUUCAAUCCCCAGUGCCUCCA